UACGAAGGGGGCUAGCGUUGUUCGGAAUCACUGGGCGUAAAGCGCACGCAGGCGGAUUGAUAAGUCAGGGGUGAAAUCCCGGGGCUCAACCUCGGAAUUGCCUUUGAUACUGUCUGUCUUGAGUUCGGGAGAGGUUGGCGGAAUUCCUAGUGUAGAGGUGAAAUUCGUAGAUAUUAGGAAGAACACCAGUGGCGAAGGCGGCCAACUGGCCCGAUACGUGGACGCUCAUGUCGCGAA
rnacentral:rRNA from 1 species